GAUGAACGCUGGCGGCGUGCCUAACACAUGCGAGUCGAACGGAGAUUACGGACGGAAGUUUUCGGAUGGAAGCCUGUAAUUCUUAGUGGCGGACGGGUGAGUAACGCGUGGGCAACCUGCCCUAUACAGGGGGAUAGCAGCUGGAAACGGCUGGUAAGACCGCAUAAGUCGGUUAAAUCGCAUGAUUUGAUCGGGAAAUGAGCAAUCAGGUAUAGGAUGGGCCCGCGUCCGAUUAGCCAGUUGGCAGGUUAAAAGCCUACCAAAGCGACGAUCGGUAGACGGACUGAGAGGUAGGACGGCCACAUUGGGACGGAGACACAGCCCAAACUCCUACGGGAGGGAGCAGUGGGUGAUAUUGCAAAAUGGAGGAAACGCUGAUGCAGCGACGCCGCGUGAGUGAAGUAGUAUUUCGGUAUGUAAAGCUCUAUCAGCAGGGAAGAUGAUGACGGUACCUGACUAAGAAGCCCCGGCUAACUACGUG
rnacentral:rRNA from 1 species